rnacentral:rRNA from 1 species
AGCGAACGCUGGCGGCAGGCUUAACACAUGCAAGUCGAGCGGGCAUCCUUGUGGUGUCAGCGGCAGACGGGUGAGUAACGCGUGGGAACGUGCCCUUCGGUUCGGAAUAACUCAGGGAAACUUGAGCUAAUACCGGAUACGUGCGAGAGCAGAAAGGUUUAUCUGCCGAAGGAUCGGCCCGCGUCUGAUUAGCUAGUUGGUGAGGUUAUGGCUCACCAAGGCGACGAUCAGUAGCUGGUCUGAGAGGAUGAUCAGCCACACUGGGACUGAGACACGGCCCACACUCCUACGGGAGGCAGCAGUAGGGAAUAUUGGACAAUGGGGGCAACCCUGAUCCAGCCAUGCCGCGUGAGUGAUGACGGCCUUAGGGUUGUAAAGCUCUUUUCUCCGGGACGAUAAUGACGGUACCGGGGGAAUAAGCCCCGGCUAACUUCGUG